rfam:Patagioenas fasciata monilis isolate BTP2013 Sc31e1R_53, whole genome shotgun sequence.
CCAACGGCUCUUUUAAGAGCCACCCACAUUUUCUCAAAAAAAAAG